UUGACGUAAGGUAUUCUGGGAGGGUUGAACUCCUCUCGGCUCUGCCUGUGUGGUGUUGGAGCGCCCUCAUGUGGUGUAUAUUCUGAGCCACAGUGUCACAAAGCAUUCCAGAGCCCCAGUUUAUACUGGUGUGGCUCGGAAUGUCGCAUAUUCCUUGAUCUUCCUGUAGUCACUAGUGGGCGCUGAUGAGGAAGAAAAACCAUGCGGCUGACAGUU